UGGGGAAUAUUGCACAAUGGGCGCAAGCCUGAUGCAGCCAUGCCGCGUGUAUGAAGAAGGCCUUCGGGUUGUAAAGUACUUUCAGCGGGGAGGAAGGGAGUAAAGUUAAUACCUUUGCUCAUUGACGUUACCCGCAGAAGAAGCACCGGCUAACUCCGUGCCAGCAGCCGCGGUAAUACGGAGGGUGCAAGCGUUAAUCGGAAUUACUGGGCGUAAAGCGCACGCAGGCGGUUUGUUAAGUCAGAUGUGAAAUCCCCGGGCUCAACCUGGGAACUGCAUCUGAUACUUGCAAGCUUGAGUCUCGUAGAGGGGGGUAGAAUUCCAGGUGUAGCGGUGAAAUGCGUAGAGAUCUGGAGGAAUACCGGUGGCGAAGGCGGCCCCCUGGACGAAGACUGACGCUCAGGUGCGAAAGCGUGGGGAGCAAACAGG
rnacentral:rRNA from 1 species